rnacentral:rRNA from 1 species
GUUGAUCCUGCGGGAGGCUGCUGCUAGUGGAGUUCGACUAAGCCAUGCAAGUCAGAGCGUAAGCUCGGCGAAAUGCUCAGUAACACGUCGUUAAUCUGCCCUAAGGUUCGGGAUAAUCUCGGGAAACUGAGGCUAAUACCGGAUAGGGGAAGGAUGCUGGAAUGCGCCUUCCCUGAAACGUAAGGCCUAAGGAUGAGACGGCGGCGGAUUAGGUCGUUGGUGAGGUAAUGGCUCACCAAGCCGAAGAUCCGUAGGGGCCUUGAGAGAGGUAGCCCCGAGAAGGACACUGAGAUACUGGUCCUAGCCCUACGGGGUGCAGCAGGCGCGAAACCUUUACAAUACACGAAAGUGUGAUAAGGGAACUCCACGUGCCUAUACUCUGUAUAGGCUUUUGCCAAGAGUAAAUAUCUUGGAGAAUAAGUGGUGGGUAAGACGGGUGCCAGCCGCCGCGGUAACACCUGCGCCACAAGUGGCAGCCAUAAUUAUUGGGCCUAAAGCGUCUGUAGCCGGUUAAGUAAAUCUCUUGUGAAAUUGUCGGGCCUAACCUGACAAAGUACAGGAGACACUGCUUAACUCGGAACCGGUAAGUGUCAGAAGUAUUCUUGGGGUAGCGGUAAAAUGUUAUAAUCCCAAGAGGACUACCUGUGGCGAAGGCGUCUGACAAGGACGGAUUCGACGGUGAGGGACGAAAGCCAGGGGAGCGAUCCGGAUUAGAUACCCGAGUAGUCCUGGCUGUAAACUCUGCGAGCUAGGUGUUGCAUAUUCCUCGAGAAUGUGCAGUAUCGAAACGAAGGUGUUAAGCUCGCCGCCUGGGAAGUAUGGUCGCAAGACUGAAACUUAAAGGAAUUGGCGGGGGAGCACUACAAGGGGUGCGGCGUGCGGUUUAAUCUAAUUCUACGCAGAGAAUCUCACCAGAAGCGACGGCAGGAAGAAGGUCAGGCUCAUUGUCUUACCUGACGAGCCGAGAGGUAGUGCAUGGCCGCCGUCAGCUCGUGCCGUAAGGUGUCCUGUUAAGUCAGGCAACGGGCGAGACCUGUAUCCACAAUUGCUAACAGCUAAUCCUUAGGACUGAGUACAUUGUGGGAACUGCCUUGGAAACAAGGAGGAAGGUGCAGGCUACGGUAGGUCUGUAUGCUCCGAAUCUUCUGGGCUACACGCGCGCAACAAUGGUAGUGACAAUGGGAUGCGACUCCGAAAGGAGAAGCUAAACCUCAAACGCUAUCCAAGUCCAGAUUGAGGACUGUAACUCGUCCUCAUGACGAUGGAAUCCCUAGUAAUCGUGUGUUAUCAUCGCACGGUGAAUAUGUCCCUGCUCCUUGCACACACCGCCCGUCAAACCAACCGAGCAGUGCUUAGGUGAGUCUAGGCCUUUUAGCCUAUCCGAACCUAAGCUCAGUGAGGUGGGUUAAGUCGUCACAAGGUA